rfam:Candidatus Thorarchaeota archaeon AB_25 ThorAB25_contig000001, whole genome shotgun sequence.
GUGGUAGACUCUAAAGUGCCUGACCAACAAGCUGCAUAUGAGAACACUAUGAACGCGUUACUUGCGGCUGUUUCAGGUUGUGAUGUGGUUCAUGACGGGG